rnacentral:rRNA from 1 species
UACGGAGGGUGCAAGCGUUAUCCGGAUUCACUGGGUUUAAAGGGUGCGUAGGUGGACUAAUAAGUCAGUGGUGAAAGCCCGCAGCUUAACUGCGGAACUGCCAUUGAUACUGUUAGUCUUGAGUACAGUUGAGGUGGGCGGAAUGUGUCAUGUAGCGGUGAAAUGCUUAGAUAUGACACAGAACACCGAUUGCGAAGGCAGCUCACUAAGCUGUAACUGACACUGAGGCACGAAAGUGUGGGUAGCAAACAGG